GAUGAACGCUAGCUACAGGCUUAACACAUGCAAGUCGAGGGGUAACGAGAGGAAAGCUUGCUUUCCUUGUCGACGACCGGCGCACGGGUGAGUAAUGCGUAUCCUACCUGCCCCCAACUAAGGAAUAACCUUGCGAAAGUAAGACUAAUACCUUAUAAUUUCCUCAGAUGUCAUCUGACGAGGAAUAAAGAUUUAUCGGUUGUGGAUGGGGAUGCGUCUGAUUAGCUUGUUGGCGGGGUAACGGCCCACCAAGGCAACGAUCAGUAGGGGUUCUGAGAGGAAGGUCCCCCACAUUGGAACUGAGACACGGUCCAAACUCCUACGGGAGGCAGCAGUGAGGAAUAUUGGUCAAUGGGCGGAAGCCUGAACCAGCCAAGUAGCGUGCAGGAUGACGGCCCUAUGGGUUGUAAACUGCUUUUAUACAGGAAUAAAGUUAGCCACGUGUGGUUAUUUGUAGGUACUGUAUGAAUAAGGACCGGCUAAUUCCGUGCCAGCCGCCGCCGUAA
rnacentral:rRNA from 1 species